rnacentral:rRNA from 1 species
UGUAAGCGUAUACCAAAGUUGUUGCAGUUAAAACGCUCGUAGUCGGACUUUGGCAGUUCCGGAUGUGUGCACGUCGUGUGCGCACUUCGCGGGGAUUGCUUUUGUGGUCUUGCGUAGGAUGAGGCACUUUUAUUAGUGAACGUCCUCACGCAACCACUUUUUACUGUGAGAAAAUCAGAGUGCUCAAAGCAGGCAUUUGCCGUGAAUGUAUUAGCAUGGAGUAAUAGAAUAGGACUUGGUUCUAUUUUGUUGGUUUGUUGGGACUGAGUAAUGAUUAAGAGGGACAGUUGGGGGCAUUUGUAUUUCGGUGCUAGAGGUGAAAUUCUUAGAUUACCGAAAGACAAACUGCUGCGAAAGCGUCUGCCAAGGAUGUUUUCAUUGA